rnacentral:lncRNA from 1 species
AAUUUGAUAAACAAUAAAUUUUUUAUAAAUUCAUUAUAAUUUUAAUUGGUUAUCGAAAUUAAAAGAAAAGAAAAAAAAAAGACGAAAAUGAAAAGAAAAAAAAACGAAAAUGAAAAGAAAGAGAAAGACAAAUAAACAUCCAAUUCCUUUAUAGUAAUUAAGUAAAUAAUGAUUAAGAUUUUUUUUAUCUAUUGUACAAU